CAGGAAACUAAACAUAUAUUUAUCAUCAGAAUGCAACCUCAAAAGGUGUGACUCAUAAUGACGUUAAGGUCUAGAACCUUGGCAGACCAAAGAAUCUGCACUGCUCCUGAGAAAGCUGGCCAUAGAGAAGAAUAGGGAUGUGGGCCUGAGUGAGCUGUGACUCAUCCUGGGUGCACCUCUCCCAAUGCUGGGCACCCCUCUACAGGCUGAAGAAAUCUCCAACUUCCAUUCCAUCUUCUGAGAGUCCUGAGAGGCACAGCAUGGGGCUGGGGCUUUUCUUUGGAUUAUGUUGGGAUGUUUACCUUCAUCUUUUCGUUAUUCUCAUUUUUCAUAAGCCUCAAAUUACCUAGCUCGCUCACGUACUGAGCACGUUUGCAUGCUGUUACAUCCACUUCAACAGCUUAAUAAUGGCACAACAUUUCACUGGGUGUUGUCACCCGUGCCACCAACAAAGGGGGCUGGCAGUUUGUUGGACACUCAGCUUGGUGCAAGGAGAUCACCAGCCUUACUCUCCUGCUGCCACGAGUGAAUUCCCUGAAACAAUUGAUUGUACUCCGAAAUUGUGAGCCAAAAAUUAAACUCUUCCUCCUGUAA
ensembl:lncRNA